GCAGCCCCCUGGUGUCUCCUGUUGGCCAGUCUUUUCUUGUCUGCUGCUGAACAUGGCUUUUUCUGGCGGGAUGUUUGGCACUGCUGAGAGCAGCUCCCCAUCGCUGUUAAAAGUUAACAAGCAUAAGCCAUGGAUUGAAACGACGUAUCAUGGGAUAGUCACAGAAAAUGACAACACAGUUCUCCUGGACCCCCCUUUAAUAGCCCUGGACAAAGAUGCACCUCUGCGUUUUGCAGGUAAAUAAAUUGUCUAGUUUUAUUUCUUAAGAAGUGGGAACACUAUCAUGAUGGCAAACGCUGUGUGUUAUUUAGUGUAUUUUCCCCAGCAGCCACGUCAUGUUUGUAGCUUAUAGAUCCUAGGAAAUACCCAUGCAUGGACCAUGGUUUUAUUUGAUACUUACAGCCAUAUUUACGUACCCAAGUGGAGAAUAGUGUAUAUUGCGGAUACUCUUUCAAUUGCAUGCGUAUUACUUUCUCACUUCCUUUGCAUAGCAUCUGACUUUUUCUUCAGUCCUCCAGAUUCCACAUUUUGCAGCAUUGUUUGGAGUUCCGAAAUGCACAUUUUCUUCUCAUUCUGAACAGUUUUCAGUUUUCUUAGAGUAUUCAAUUUGUGUCUUAAUAAACUGAGAAGACAUUGGUAGAAUUAAGAUUGCACUUCCUUUCUGCAGUAUUUGGGCCAUGAGUUUCUGUGAAAAUUCAGGCUUUCUCUCAUAAGUUUUUGUAGCAGUUUGGAGUGUUUCAGAAAAUGGGAAGCCUCUUCCACUCAAAGAAUCACUGAUAUUUCACAGCUUGGUCAGUGUCAGAGAGCAGAGGUGGCAUAAGAGAAUACUAUUCUCAGCACUCCUUAAUUUCAGAAAUGUGAAGCUUGAGACUUAUUUAAUGAUGUAAUGUAUUUUAUGGCUGAGGUUCCUUUAGCUAUGAGAUAGUGCUAGAAAUAUGACCUCUGUUUAAUUUUCGGAGGAGUUGUGGAGGGAAGCUUGGUUCUUUUGAAGUCUUCCUAAAUGUAAGCAGGUUCCUGCAUCUGGGAAGGGGCUGAAUGUUGUGUAAGUGGGUUUGAGCUCAUCUUGCUGCUGUGCAGAAUAUCUUCUCUGAUAAUGGAGUUUUUCACUGGUACUAGCUUAAUACUGCCUGAGGAGAU
rnacentral:lncRNA from 1 species